AUUGAACGCUGGCGGCAUGCCUUACACAUGCAAGUCGAACGGUAACGGGCCUUCGGGUGCCGACGAGUGGCGAACGGGUGAGUAAUACAUCGGAACGUGCCCGAUCGUGGGGGAUAACGAGGCGAAAGCUUUGCUAAUACCGCAUACGAUCUACGGAUGAAAGCAGGGGACCGCAAGGCCUUGCGCGGACGGAGCGGCCGAUGGCAGAUUAGGUAGUUGGUGGGAUAAAAGCUUACCAAGCCGACGAUCUGUAGCUGGUCUGAGAGGAUGAUCAGCCACACUGGGACUGAGACACGGCCCAGACUCCUACGGGAGGCAGCAGUGGGGAAUUUUGGACAAAGGGCGCAAGCCUGAUCAAGCCAUGCCGCGUGCAGGAUGAAGGCCUUCGGGUUGUAAACUGCUUUUGUACGGAACGAAAAGCCUUCUUUUAAUACAGGAGGGUCAUGACGGUACCGUAAGAAUAAGCACCGGCUAACUACGUG
rnacentral:rRNA from 1 species